CGCUGCGCUUCAUCUUCUUGGUGUUGAGGCAUCGGAGCUUGGGGACAGUGUAGGGUUGCUCCGAGGCAGGAACUUGUCGAGGGAGAGGACCAGCACCACCAGGCACGACAGCAAUGGCAGAUACGAUGGUAUACAUCACAUCCGCAAACUCCCCAUGGUAAGAAUUCAGUAGUGUAUCCUUUUUUAGUCCGAUGAGCAUUGUUUGAAUGAUUAUGUAGAUGGAUUGAUUUCGUGGUGUUCUGUAGCAGGGCAAUCUGAGAAGAAUUUAGGCGCGUGAGAGAGGGUUUAGUGAAGAGAGUUGUCUCUCUUAUCUUGAGAAGCAAGUUCGGGUUAAAAUGUGAAGAGAGUCAGGAAUAAUAAUGAGUAAAUCUCACCCUGUGGUGUCCUCGGUUAUGCAUAUGUUCUCAUAGUUCGUUGCAUGGUCAAGAUCAAUGUUUGUAUAAGGCCACAUCUGUUGUAGUAUGUCUCUCUAGCAAGAGGAGUGAGGUAGAUUCGCAUUGUUGAAGAAAGCGAAGAACUUCAUAUCUUGCCAUUCUUGCGUACCUAAUUUUGUUCCAUGGGAUUCUCAGUUUGGCCAUUCAUGAUCUUGAUUUUCUGGUGUGACACUAUGCAUGCCAAGCAUUGUAUGAUUCCUCAAAAGAAGAAGAGACAAUCAUAGUUUGAUGUACGAUACAUAUGUUGUGAAGUUGAACUGCUCGUCUAAUUUCUUUUUGGGAAUAUAUAAGAGACUGGAUUUACAUCAA
rnacentral:lncRNA from 1 species